AAAUAUUUCAAUGAACAGUGACAGAAAUUUGGUAAGUAAGUGGAUUUGGAUGAAAAUAUGUGACGUAGGUGCUGGAGAGAUGGCUCAUCGGUUAGGAGCACUGAUGCUCUUCCAGAGGUCUUGAGUUCAAUUCCCAGCAACCACAUGGUGGCUUAUGACCAUCUAUAAUGUGAUAUGAUGCUCUCUUCUGCCAUGCAAAUGUACAUGCAAAUAGAACACUCAUACACAUAAAAUAAAUCAUUUUUAAGAAAAAGAAAAUAUGUGUUGUAAUGAAAUACCUAGGUUUCAGUUAAUCACAAACUCAGAUAAAUGCAACAACUAAAAGGUAAAUCUAAGACAAAAUUCACUAAAUGAGAAAAGGUAGAAAAUUGGGAGAUAGUAAAUAUGUUUUAGGAUAGUUGCUUAAACUGAGGAUCAAAUAGUGUUUUUACUCCUUCCUUUCUUGAAAGAAGUAUUCUUGACAUUGUUUAACUGAAAGUACCUCUUAAUGAGCUCAGAUUAAAUAAUUACUUUUCCAGACAGAGCCAGCAUACCGUUCCCAGCAAAAAUCAAGAUUUUCUCCUCUUAAAGAAGAUUGGUUGAAAAAUAAAAGACGGUGUGUAGCAGAAGUCAGAAGAAGAGAUUUUGAUGUCCCAAAUCUCAAGUUCAAGAUGGUUGUAAGAUGUCAUGUGUUUGCUUGAAGCUGAAUCUGGAUCCUCUGCAAGAACAGAGGAAGAAUCCAGUAACACCUGGGGUGGUCUUCUGUGACUAGACUGUGCUGAGAAGACCACAGGAGACGGAAGCAGACGGACUCUGGUAUCCACUCAGCCUACCUCAGCUCUCCCAGGACAGGGUCUGGCUCUCAGCAGCCCACAGCACUCCACUGGGUGACCCGAGGCAGGAAGAAUCAACUUGUCUGAACCAAAGACCCUUUCUGCCCAUUCACUUUGGGGCCCUGCUCCUCUGAAUGUUCCAAUUCACUUAUCUUUUCUUAAAGCUCUUGUGUUGUGUCUCCCACAUGAUCCAUUCUCAGUUUUUUGUUUCUUUAUUGAAUUCCAUUUUCAUAUAUUUUAUUUUUUAUUUCAUUCAGAUGUUUGUGUUCUUUUGAAAUUCAUCUAGAAACUAUGUACUCUUAUUUUUAAACAUAUCUAUUAUUCUUUUGGAUUCUUUUUAAUUUCAUUUAAUUCACUGGCAUUUGUCCCAUUUUUGUGGAAUGCAUUGUAAAUGUUGUUUUUAUUUCUUCAGAGUAAGGGGAUGAGAUGAGAGCCAUAUACAAGCUGUAUGAAUACACGGCUUGGGUUAAGCUGGAGCAUUUCUUUGUCUUUUCUAGCCAUCCCUAGGCCAAGGCCUGGAAGCUUCUAACCUCUGUACAAUUUAUUGUUCUGUAAACCUAGACCAUAAAGGCUUCAGCUUCUAGCCUCUGUCUGCUAACUUGGCCUAGAAUGUUUAAUAAGCUCACCCUUUCUGGUUCUGUCUGAACUCUGGCUGGCUGGCUCAACUCAGCUGUUCUGGCUCAACUCCUCUCCAAGAAAACUGAUUCAAAUUGGCUUUUCUCAGCUUCUGAUUGAAUUGCACUGCUUGGAAAAACUGCCUCUGUACUGCACAAACUGAACUGCACUGACUACACGACCUGAAUGAAACUGCAUGAACUGAACUAAACUGAACUGUCCUAUACUCCUAAACUCUAAACUCUACUGUUCUGUCUCCAUGAAUUCUACUGUACUCCUGUACUGUAUUCUUCUUCCUCUGUACUGUACUAUCUCUCAGACUCUGCCUGCUCUUUUUUUUCUUUUCUUUUCUUUUUUUUAAUUAUUUAUUCACUUUAUAUCCCAAUCAUAAUAUCCUCCCUUGUCUCCUCCUUGGCCCACCCUCUCUCACUUUUGCUCUCUAUCCACCUCCUCUGCACCACAGAAAGGGUGAACCCUCCUUCUCUAACCCUAAUCCUAGCCUAUCAAGUUUCAUCAGAACUGCCUUUAUCCUCUUCCUCUGUGGCCUGGUAAGGCUGCCCCACCAGGGGAAAUGAUCAAAGAGCGGGCAACCUAAUCCAUGUCAGAGAUAACCCCUGCUCCCCUUACUAGGGAAUCCACAUGGAGACUGAGAUGCUUCUGGGCUACAUCUAAGCAGUGGGUCUAAGUCCUGUCCAUGUAUGGUCCUUGGUUGGUACAUCAGUUUCUGCAGGGCCCCCUGUGCCCAGAUUUGUUGGCUUUGUUGGUCUCCUAGUGGGGCUCCUGGCCCCUCCUGGCCCUUCUAUCACCCUACUUUUCCAUAAUACUCCCUGCACUCUGCCCAACUAGAAAAGAUCAUCCUUAGUGAGGUAACCCAGAAGCAGAAAGACACUAAUGGUAUAUACUCACUUAUAAUAUGAUAUUAGCCAUGUAAUACAGGAUAACCAUACUAAAAUCCACAGACCUAAAUAAACUAAAUAACAAGGAGGACCCUAGGGAGGAUAAUUAAUUCUUGCUCAGAAGGACAAAUAGAAUAGACACCAGAAGCAGUUGAAGAGAGGGACCCUACCAUAGAUAUCUUCUGAAAGACUCCAUCCACCAGGGGAUGGACGCAUAUGCUGCCUGCUUCUAAGUAGCCUCUCUUUUGUGAGAGUUGAGCGUAUCCUAUAUCUGACUCAUUCUGUCAAAUCUUUCUCCAUUUGUCACAUUUUCUGCCUCCCAAUUAGAUAGCAUUGUUUGAAAUUAAAGGUGUGUACUAAGGGUGUGUUUCAUUCUACCCAGACCAUACUAUAAUCCAGGGUGUCUUUCUGCUUCUGGGAUACCUCACUCAGGAUGAUCUUUUCUAGAUCACACCAUUUGCCUGCAAAUUUCAUGAUUUCCUUGUUUUUAAUUGCUAAGUGGCAUUCCAUUGUGUAAAUGUACAAUUAAUUUCUGUAUCCAUUCCUCCACUGAAGGACAUCUGGGUUGUUUCCAGGAUCUGGUUAUUAUAAAUAAUGAUGCUAUGAAUAUGGUUGAACAUGAAUGUCCUUGUUGUGUACUUGAGCAUCUUUUGGAUAUAAGCCUAGAAGUGGUAUAGCUGGGUCUUGAUAUAGCUCUAUUCCUACUUUUCUGAGAAAGUGCCAGAUUAAUUUCCAAAGUGGUUGUACACGUUUACCUUCCCACAAACAAUGGAGGAUCGUUCCCCUUCUCCACAUCCUCUCCAACAUGUGUUGUCACUUGAGUUUUUAGCCAUUCUAAUGGGUGUAAGGUGAAAUCUCAGGGUCAUUUUGACUUGCAUUUCCCUGCUGACUAAGGAUGUUGAGCAUUUCUUUAAGUGUUUCUCUGCCAUUUUAUAUUCCUCCACAGAGAAUUCUCUGUUUAGCCCUGUACCCCAUUUUUAAAUUGGAUUACAUGAUGUGUUGCUUUUUAACUUCUUUAGUUUUUUAUAUAUCCAUGUUUUAAAUAGAAAAAAUAUGUUGGAAUAAAAAAAAUUAGAAUGUCAGGCAUGGUAGUGCAUGUGUUUAAUCCCAGUACUUGGGAGGCAGAAACAAGAGAAUCUCUGUGAGUCUGAGGCCAGUCUGGCAUACUGAGAGCAUUUCAGGACAGCCAGGGCUACAUAGAGGGUCCCUAUCUCAAAAGCAAAACAACAAUAAAAUAGAUGGACUUUUACGUCUGUAAGACACAGAUGCCAGUUGGUUUCAGGAGUAAACAAUUAGGUGGCCCAAGAAAAGCACCAACGGGGUCCAAUACAGAAUGAAAAGAUUUCAUUCUUCAUACCAGUUUUUUUUUUUUUUUAAGAAGGGAAGUUCAGUACAGCUGUGUGAAUAGGAAGAGUUUUCCUAAUUAAAAGGCACAGGGGACAUCACUGUGAGGAAAGUCUUGACUGCUUUUGAGAAGUGGUGUGACAUGAUAUGGAUUCUAUCUUUAUAUAAUUUUGUCUAAAUCUCAACUGCAAUAAUAAACAUUUAAAAUGAAUGAUUUGCUUCUGAAAUGUAAACAGGAAUGAUGAGUGACAAACCUACUAAAUAUGAAAGUGUUAAUGCACAAAUGAAAUGUUUGGUAUAAACACAGAGCUGUUCUGACAGAAUAUGGAAACAAAGUUAUAAAAUGUGUAUAAG